GAUGAACGCUGGCGGCGUGCUUAACACAUGCAAGUCGAACGGAAAGGCCCGUCCUUGCACUGGUACUCGAGUGGCGAACGGGUGAGUAACACGUGGGUGAUCUGCCCUGCACUUCGGGAUAACCCUGGGAAACUGGGUCUAAUACCGGAUAGGACCACGGUUUGGAUGCUGUUGUGGAAAGUUUUUUCGGUGUGGGAUGAGCUCGCGGCCUAUCACCGUGUUUGUGGGGUAAUGGCGUAUCCAGGCGUCGUCGGGUGGCGGGGCUGAGAGGGUGUACGGGCACAUUGGGGGAGAGAGACGGGCCAGAGACCUACGGGAGGGGGAAGUGGGGAAUAUAGCACAAUAGGGGCAAGCCUGAGGCAGAGACGCCGCGUGGGGGAUGACGGGGUUCGGGGUGUAAACUCCGUUCGCGAGGGAGGAGGCGCAUGUGUGACGGUACCGGGAGAAGAAGCACCGGCUAACUACGUG
rnacentral:rRNA from 1 species